rnacentral:rRNA from 1 species
AGGGUUUGAUUAUGGCUCAGGAUGAACGCUGGCGGCGUGCUUAACACAUGCAAGUCGAGCGAAGCACUUAACUUUGAUUCUUUCGGGAUGAAGAGUUCUGUGACUGAGCGGCGGACGGGUGAGUAACGCGUGGGUAACCUGCCUCAUACAGGGGGAUAACAGUUAGAAAUGGCUGCUAAUACCGCAUAAGACCACAGCACCGCAUGGUGCAGGGGUAAAAACUCCGGUGGUAUGAGAUGGACCCGCGUCUGAUUAGCUAGUUGGUGGGGUAACGGCCUACCAAGGCGACGAUCAGUAGCCGACCUGAGAGGGUGACCGGCCACAUUGGGACUGAGACACGGCCCAA